rnacentral:rRNA from 1 species
AUUGAACGCUGGCGGAAUGCUUUACACAUGCAAGUCGAACGGUAGAGGGGGCAACCCCUUGAGAGUGGCGAACGGGUGAGUAAUAUAUCGGAACGUGCCCAGUCGUGGGGAUAACGUAGCGAAAGUUACGCUAAUACCGCAUACGAUCUAAGGAUGAAAGCGGGGGAUCGCAAGACCUCGCGCGAUUGGAGCGGCCGAUAUCAGAUUAGGUAGUUGGUGAGGUAAAGGCUCACCAAGCCAACGAUCUGUAGCUGGUCUGAGAGGACGACCAGCCACACUGGAACUGAGACACGGCCCAGACUCCUACGGGAGGCAGCAGUGGGGAAUUUUGGACAAUGGGCGCAAGCCUGAUCCAGCAAUGCCGCGUGCAGGAUGAAGGCCUUCGGUUGUAACUGCUUUGUUACGGAACGAAACGGUAGAGCUCUAAUACAG